rnacentral:piRNA from 2 species
UAACAAGAUGCGUAACGCCAUACGAU